CCUCGGCGGCGCCAUUUUGGAGGCUCGUGACGCCUCAGCCGGCCGAAGCCGCCUCAGCGCCGACAUGAGCGUGGUGGAGCACGUGCGGGAGAUGGCGGCCGCCGGGCUGCACUCUAACGUGCGCAUCCUCAGCGGGCUGCUGCUCACCAUGAGCGGCAACAACCCAGAGUUAUUCUCCCCUUCUCAAAAGUACCAGCUGCUUGUAUAUCAUGCAGACUCCCUCUUUCAUGACAAGGAGUAUAGGAAUGCUGUAAGUAAGUAUACAAUGGCCUUGCAGCAGAAGAAAGCAUUAAGUAAAACUUCAAAAGUUAGACCCUCUACUGGGAAUGCUGCAUCAACUCCACAAAGUCAGUGUCUGCCAUCUGAAAUUGAAGUGAAAUACAAAAUGGCUGAGUGUUACACAAUGUUGAAGCAAGAUAAAGAUGCCAUUGCUAUCCUGGAUGGAAUUCCUUCAAGACAAAGAACCCCAAAGAUUAACAUGAUGUUGGCAAAUUUGUACAAGAAGGCAGGUCAGGAACGGUCAUCUGUUACAAGCUAUAAAGAAGUGUUGAGGCAGUGUCCUCUAGCGCUUGAUGCUAUAUUAGGUUUGCUCUCCCUCUCAGUAAAAGGUGCAGAAGUGGCCUCUAUGACAAUGAAUGUAAUUCAGAGUAUCCCCAACUUGGACUGGCUUUCAGUGUGGAUCAAAGCAUAUGCUUUUGUGCACACUGGAGAUAACACCAGAGCAAUCAACACCAUCUGCUCAUUAGAGAAAAAGUCUUUGCUGAGGGAUAACGUGGAUCUGUUGGGGAGCUUGGCAGACCUGUACUUCAGAGCUGGAGACAAUAAAAAUUCAAUUCUAAAAUUUGAACAGGCACAAAUGCUGGACCCUUAUCUGAUAAAAGGGAUGGAUGUCUAUGGCUAUUUAUUGGCACGUGAAGGUCGCCUAGAAGAUGUGGAGAACUUGGGCUGCCGACUCUUCAAUAUUUCUGAUCAGCAUGCAGAGCCGUGGGUUGUGUCUGGGUGCCAUAGUUUCUACAGUAAGAGAUAUUCUCGUGCCUUGUAUUUGGGAGCCAAAGCUAUUCAGCUCAACAGUAAUAGUGUCCAAGCAUUACUACUGAAAGGAGCUGCUCUUAGGAACAUGGGGCGAGUCCAGGAGGCAAUUAUACAUUUCCGCGAGGCAAUACGUCUUGCGCCUUGCAGGCUAGACUGUUAUGAAGGCCUCAUUGAAUGUUAUCUUGCAUCCAACAGUAUCCGUGAAGCAAUGGUUAUGGCUAACAAUGUAUACAAAACCCUGGGAGCAAACGCACAGACGCUUACGUUGUUGGCAACAGUCUGUCUUGAAGACCCGGUUACACAAGAGAAAGCAAAAACCUUAUUAGAUAAAGCAUUGACACAGAGACCUGAUUAUAUUAAAGCUGUGGUAAAGAAAGCGGAACUUCUUAGCAGAGAACAGAAAUAUGAAGAUGGAAUUGCUUUACUGAGGAAUGCACUGGCUAAUCAGAGUGACUGUGUGCUGCAUCGAAUACUGGGAGACUUUCUUGUAGCUGUCAAUGAAUAUCAGGAAGCUAUGGACCAGUACAGUAUUGCCCUCAGCUUGGAUCCCAAUGAUCAGAAGUCUUUAGAAGGAAUGCAGAAAAUGGAAAAGGAGGAGAGUCCAACAGAUGCAACCCAGGAAGAGGAUGUGGAUGAUAUGGAAGGAAGUGGAGAAGAAGGGGAUUUGGAGGGCAGUGAUAGUGAAGCAGCACAGUGGGCAGAUCAAGAGCAGUGGUUUGGCAUGCAAUGAAUCUCCCUAACAGGCAUGUUUCAGCACUUGUGUCCCAUGAGCUCCAUUCUUUUCUGAAGAACUUAGACUUCAGUUUUUGUAGUAACAACCCAGCCUCUCCUUCAAAGCAGCAGACUCUGGAAUCACAUAACAGUUAAAAGCAUCUCAGUGCUGAUCAUGUUUUGGAUGCUUCCUAUUUAUUAAGUAUGAGAUUGAACUCAUCUGUGUUGGAGAUUAUUUAGGGAAGCUGCAAACAUGUUCAAGUAAAACCCAAAUUGUUUAUUUUGCAAGCUCUCCAUUUCUUCCUUUCUCUGCAAUAAGCCUCAGAUUGCAUUCUGCUUCUGCAUGGUAACCUAGCUGUGUUUAGCAGUAAGCAUUGCAACGUUUUCUGGAAAGCAAGACUACCGUGGAACAAGAAGUGUGAAGGCUAGAGCUCAGCCCUGGAACAGUUCAGAGAAUGUACAGAUUGGUAAGCAUGAAAGUGUGUGCUAAUUUGACCACUUUUACUUAGUUGGGUGGUUUUACCUUAAGUCCUAAGUUAGCUAUUGCACGUGCUGUUGGAGUUUGAAAUUUGAACACUGCUGUGGUACCAUUAACCAGCUCUUGUAAAUUGGUCCUCCUUUAAUUUUGCCAUAGCCCUGGUCCUUUUAGUAAGUAGCGGAUAGAAAGAAUCCCAUUAAAGCUUAGAGAAGUUAGAUUUUACUGUAUUGCUCCUUGGCACCUAUAUGCUGAAGUCUGUUGCAUGAAAUUUCUAAAACUGUUUAUGACCAGAAUGGAUAUCAGACUGUUCCUUUCACCGGAGUUUCUGCUGUAAGAAAUUAGCUUAAAAACUUCCUUUUACAUACAGCUGUAUGUAACUUGUUCCUGGAUACCUGCCCGUAUCCUAAGACAAGUAGCUGACUGUGUUAGUCUGACCUCAGAUGGAAGGGUCGCAUUCAGAGAGGCUGCUUCACCAGAUGCUAAAAGGGACAUCACUCUUCAAUUGCAUGUUCUCUGUUUUGUGACAGCUUGCUUUGAUUACUGAAGAUAAAAGUUCAGACUGUUGCCACAGAGAUCAAUAUCUCUAUAAAUGCAUGUUAUGUUAGCACUCUAUUAGAUUAUCUUUUCAUGAUCUUGUCAAUAAGCAUCCAGUGGAAGGGAUUGAGAACUUUAAGAUAC